ACAUAAGUGCCAGAUAUAAUGGGUUGAUUUUAAGCGUCAAUUAUAGGAUGGAGUUAGUCCUCAUAUGUA
rnacentral:tRNA from 1 species